AUUGAACGCUGGCGGCAGGCCUAACACAUGCAAGUCGAGCGGAUGAAGGGAGCUUGCUCCUGGAUUCAGCGGCGGACGGGUGAGUAAUGCCUAGGAAUCUGCCUGGCAGUGGGGGAUAACGUCCGGAAACGGGCGCUAAUACCGCAUACGUCCUGAGGGAGAAAGUGGGGGAUCUUCGGACCUCACGCUAUCAGAUGAGCCUAGGUCGGAUUAGCUAGUUGGUGGGGUAAAGGCCUACCAAGGCGACGAUCCGUAACUGGUCUGAGAGGAUGAUCAGUCACACUGGAACUGAGACACGGUUCAGACUCCUACGGGAGGCAGCAGUGGGGAAUAUUGGACAAUGGGCGAAAGCCUGAUCCAGCCAUGCCGCGUGUGUGAAGAAGGUCUUCGGAUUGUAAAGCACUUUAAGUUGGGAGGAAGGGCAGUAAGUUAAUACCUUGCUGUUUUGACGUUACCAACAGAAUAAGCACCGGCUAACUUCGUG
rnacentral:rRNA from 1 species